AAUUAAAAAAGAAAAGCCAAGCCAAAUCAGUGAGGCAGAACAAAUAUUACUAUUCUAAAACGUUAUAAAAGGCAUCCUCAUUUACAUACAGACCAUCCUGGAGGGGAGGGGGGAAGCCAAAGUGACUUAGCAGGGGAGGCUGGGGCGGUGAGGUGGGGGUGGGGUGUCUGGGGUCCAGAGAGAAAUAAACAGGAUCUCCUUCCGGACGUUCACAAAAAAAUAUGCAGAGCCCUUUAAAGCUGCAUUCACAAUCUAAGCUACUUCUGCGACUCUGUUGUUAAUUUUAGAAAAUAAGAAUUGGAGGAAAGAGCGUGGUUGGAUUUCAUAAGUCUUGAGAGAAACUUCCCUCUGGCUUGUGUACCUCGAGUGGCUCUUUUCUUCCCCGCCUCCGUCUUUCGCUCUCCCCUCCUCCCAGUGUUACCAGGCUUUCUCCAUAAAGCUCCCAUCCUCCACCCCUCCACCGGUUCCCCACCUCCCUCCCCGCGCUGGGGGGCUGUGGGAGACACACAGACCUCCCCCCUCGGUCUGCCUUCUCCUCUAGCCCUUGGGCCUCCCCUGGCUGCUUCCGGGCCAACCUCUUAGCUGUCUCCGUGAGGCCUCCGAAUGCACCCCUGUGGCUCCCUGAUGUUUACCUUCCAAGUUGAAAAGUUUAAUUGCAGCCCCAAGUGAGGCCUAGGAGGCUGAGCAGGGGUGGGGGGCGGGGAGGGAGGAAGUAAUAAGGUCCCGACCGGCAGGAGGCCAUCCAUUGGCCACCGAGAGGCAGUGACUGUGCCCGGGGUGGGGUGGGGGCCCUGGGGUGCCCACUGCUGAUUAUGAUUAACCAGCCCGCGAGAGCCAAGGGCUGCUCAUUCCUUCUCUGAAAACGCACGUUUCCCCCCCAAACCCUUUAGCUCGGGACUCUCGCUUUUUUCUUUCUGGGGCCAAUUCUCCAAUUCCAUAUGUCUGUUUUAACUGAGGAGUGCUGGGGGAGCACAGAUGGCGAGGAAGAAGCUCACGAGGUAAAGUCGCACUGUCCCGCUGCGUCCCAGCAAAACCUUGGUGGUUUGGCGGUGACAUGUUUGCAGCGGCCUGGAAGGGGAAAGAAGGGAAACUCUGCUUCCUUGGACGUGUGAAAUCCAAUCUUUUUGCCAUCCUUGAAAAAUGAAGGGGUCGCUGGUUCACUGUGCUGUUUGGAACCAUCAGUCUCGGCUCGGCUAUUUCCUUAUGCGCAAGGUCUGCAAGCGGAAAAUCAAAACGGAGAUGAAUUUUUCCGGCAUCUGAGGUCUAAGGAGGAAAUGUUUUGCCGCGUGGGCCAUCGCCUCUGGGCAAGGUGGGAUUGGCCGGAAGGUCAGUUGUUGGGCCCGUUUCUAAAGGCGUUGAUGCCUCGGUUUCUCCAUUCGCUCCCCCUUUGCUAUCAACCGGUCCUAAGCAACCAGGUCGGAAGACAUUUAAUAUUUGUAUUCACGAAGAUUCCCUCCUCUACCAAAUUACUCGGCUCCGCUGAAUGUUGCAAGCAGGACCUUGACUUUCGGUCUCUCAUCUUCACCUCUGCAUUGCCCCAUUUUGGCGACAAUCCUGCCGAGUCAACACAGCCAGGAUCCCUGACCUUUGCUAUCUGGAUCCAGUUUCUUAUCCUCCACCAUCCCCCAGAGGAUUUCUGAUCCCUUCAGCCUGCCUUCGGCAAGAAUCCUCCUUGGUCCACUUAGCAAGAAUCUCCCUUUACCCCUGAUGUUUCCUCUUAAUAAUAUCCAUCCACUGGCUCCCACCCUGCCCCGUGGCUAUCAAUCUCAUGUGCCCAUGUGGUACUCAGACUUGAGUCCAAUGCUCCCCGUUACAGUGGUCCCUAGUCCUUAUUGCCUUGAAUAAAAUCUUCCUUGCCGUGA